AGAGGCACAGUAUUAUGCGUACAUAAAAUUGCAAGUUUUAAGGACUCAGCUUCUUG
rnacentral:tRNA from 1 species